AUCUGCAAGAAUCGCUCUGCUAAUCAGCAAAACAAACAAGUUGCAUAGGACAGAAGGUGAUGACUUUGCAUCCCAAGGAAUUCUCCAGUACAAACAACUCUCAUCAGUGGAGAACUUUGAUGGAGUACCAUGAAUUCAGUUUCUGAUUUGUAAUGAACAGACGAGCAGCAUCUAGAGAGAAAAUUCUUGUGAAUCAGUGGGUUAGACUUUGAUGAGGAUGAGAACGUCUGGUUGAUACUAGAAAUUUCUUAUGCACACAAGAAUCUCAUUUUGAAGAUAGAAAGGGUAGAAGAAUUGACUAACACCAUUUAUGCUGUACCUUGAUAUAUACAAUGAACAGAUAACUACCACCUUUUCUCCUGAAAA